CUCUCCGGCCAUAUCUACUGGAAAGCACGAUGUCCCGUCCGAUCAAUCAUAAUUAAGCUAGCGAGAGCCUUGAUAAGCACUGAGGGUGGAGACCAUUUGGGAACACAAGAAGCUGCAGCCU
rnacentral:rRNA from 1 species